ACCUGCCAGUAGAAAACCACCUGCCAUCGUAGGACAACUCAUUCCUCAAUAUGGACCCCAGACUUUGGGAGGACUAUUUGCAAGAACAGGAAGCGAACUAUUCAGUAGAAGACAUAUUGCCAUUGCAGGACAACCGAUCUUUACAUAUACACCCCAACCUACAGGAAGAGGAGGAGGAGGAGUGUAUGCAAGUACAGGAGAACCUGCCAGUAGGAAACACCCUGCCGGUGUAGGACUACCAGUGACUACAUGUGGACCCCAGACUACAGGAGGACUAUUUGCAAGUGCAGGAGGAAAACCUGUCAGUAGAAAACAUCCUGCUGCUGUAGGACAACAGAUUCCUCAAUAUGGACCACAGACUACAGGAGGAGGAGGAGGAGUGUAUGCAAGUACCGGAGGAGAACCUGUCAGUAGAAGACAGCCUGCCAUUAUACUACGACCACCGACUUUUAUAUAUCGAUCCCAGACUACAGGAGGAGGAGGAGGAGG